rnacentral:rRNA from 1 species
GACGAACGCUGGCGGCGUGCUUAACACAUGCAAGUCGAACGGAAAGGCCCUGCGUUUUUGGGGUGCUCGAGUGGCGAACGGGUGAGUAACACGUGAGUAACCUGCCCUUGACUUUGGGAUAACUUCAGGAAACUGGGGCUAAUACCGGAUAGGAGCUCCUGCUGCAUGGUGGGGGUUGGAAAGUUUCGGCGGUUGGGGAUGGACUCGCGGCUUAUGAGCUUGUUGGUUGGGGAGGUGCUUGCCAAGGCUUUGGAGGGUAGCCGGCCUGGGAGGGUGAACGGCCACAUUGGGACUGAGAUACGGCCCAGAGUGCUAUGGGAGGCAGCAGUGGGAAAUAUUGCACAAUGGGAGGAAGUCUGAUGAAGAAACGCCGGGUGCGGGAUGACGGCCUUCGGGUUGUAAAAAGCUUUAGCCUGUGACGAAGCGUGAGUGACGGUAAUGGGUAAAGAAGCACCGGCUAACUACGUG